AUUCUGGUUAGGGUUUGCAUUAUUAUUAUUUCCGGACGACCUGGAUGAUGUCCAGGUUCUCAUGAUGGAGUCAGGAGUUGGUCACCGAACUCCUAAUCUACUUAUCAUAACGCCAUUGUGUUUGGGCUCAUUAGAUUUGCCCUGACGAGCAUCAUCUAUCUAGACGAGGUCCAGGUUCUCAUGAUGGAGUCAGGAGUUGAUCACCAGAACUCCUGAUCUACUCAUUAGCACUCCCUCGUGUUUGGGGUCAUUAGAUUUGCCCUGACGAGCACCAUCUAUCUAGAUGAGGUCCAAGGUCUCAUGAUGGAGUCAGGAGUUGGUCACCAGAACUCCUAAUCUACUCAUCAUAACUCCAUCGUGUUUGGGCUCAAUAGAUUUGCCCUGACGAGCACUAUCGAUCUAGAU